CCCGCCCUGCCGCCGCCUGGCCGAAGCCUCUCCAAGGCCAAGGCCACCCUCGGCCCCGCCCCGCCGCAACCGCCGCCCCGGAGUGUCGGUCGAAGAUCACCCUAGGCCCACGCCCUCUGCCCGCCCCGGACGCGCCACCCCUUCCUGGGCCUCCCUCCCUCCUUCCGCUCCAGAUGAAGAAAAUGAGGCCCAGGAUGGACCUUGUUCUAUCUGGAAAAAGACAGAAAAGGGACCUUAGGACUGGAAAGGCAACUAUAGGAGCAGCACCCCCCUGGUGGCGUUGGGGACCCAAGCUUGAGGCAAAACUCACUCAAGGACAGCAGAGCAGAGGGAAUGGAGUCCUUGAGCUGCUGCAUCCAACCUCCCAAACCUGCCAUCCUACUGAACUUCUGCUAUGAGAGAGAUUGAACUCGGGACCUUGCGCUUAUGAGGCAGGCACUGGAACCUCUGAACUAAAUCCCUGCCCCUUGGGAAAUUAUGAAUGAAUAGAGCUAUGCUAUAGGACAACAGGAGCACUUGGCCUACUUGGGAGUCAGAAAAACAGCUCUAACAGAUCCCUGGGAACGAACUGGGUGAUAAAAAGUGGAGAAAAAUACAUUCCAGGUGACAAGAACAGUGUGGCCUCUCUUCUCUCUCUCCCUGCUUUGACCCAGGCCCUCAGCACUUUUUGGUGCGGAUCACUGCUGUAACCCAGCAGUUGUCUUCCACUGGUCUUCUCGCUCACAGACUUGUUCCCAACAGCUCAUCCUCCUGCCAGCCACGAGAAUAAUCUAUUAGAAAACUUUUGGUGGUUCCAUCAUCGACCAAGACAAGAUCUAUUUCCUGAACAGAGCUCCAUAGGAUCUAGUCUCUGUCAUCUCUCUGACUUCAUUUUCUGCUCUCUAUCUCUGAGAACUCCUUGCUAUAAUUACCAGUCACACCAGGGUCUUUUCAUACUGUUUUCUGUGCCUACAACAC
rnacentral:lncRNA from 1 species